rnacentral:tRNA from 1 species
GGUAUAGCCAAGUGGUAAGGCAACGGGUUUUGAUCCCGUCAUUCGUUGGUUCGAGUCCAGCUACC